AUUAUAUAGGAUAACACCCUGAACGCGCCCGAUCUCAUCUGAUCUCGGAAGAUAAGCUGGGUCGGGCCUGGUUAGUACUUGGAUGGGAAAAAGAGAUACUCAGAAUAACA
ensembl:rRNA 5S_rRNA 5S ribosomal RNA